GCCAAUGGCACUGCCCGGUAGCUAAAUGCGGAAGAGAUAAGUGCUGAAAGCAUCUAAGCACGAAACUUGCCCCGAGAUGAGUUCUCCCUGAGACUAUAAGUCUCCUGAAGGAACGUUAAAGACUAUGACGUUGAUAGGUCGGGUGUGUAAGCGCAGCGAUGCGUUGAGCUAACCGAUACUAAUGAACCGUGAGGCUUAACCUU
rnacentral:rRNA from 1 species